GCUUCCGGGAGGCGCCGCCAUGGGCCAAGGGAAGAAGGCGCUGCACGGCUCCGCGGCCGAGUUCUCGGAGCUGGCGGUGAAGCGGCAGCGGUUGGGGCGCGGGGGGGUGGAGGUGCUGUACCGCUCCGGCUGCCCCUGCAGGACCGCGUCCUCCAGCACCGCUCCUCCGGCCGCCGCUCCCGCAGCACGGCUUGCUUCUCUAUUUGCUCUUAGUUCCUUCGAUAUAGGUGAUUUUUCGUUUCAGUCUAAGCGCAGCUCAGAAAUGUCCGCGGUUCCCAAGGGCUGUUCUGGGUAGAUAACCACGUUCCCCUGGGGAUCACCAAGCACGGCACCUGUGGGUGCGUACAUCACAGACCCACACUGAUCAGUACAGGGAUGCGCACAGGGAGCUCAUCCAGCACAUUCCGAGAACACUGACAGGCAAAGAACCCCCUGCCGUCACCAAGGAGCAGUUUCUCCAGGUGGUUCAGGUGGCUGCAGCUGCUGAGCAGACCUGGAGAAACAGAGCUGCUGUUGACCUCCAUGAUGAAGCCAUCAAUUCCUCUGUGAUCAAGGCCGAGAUCGUGUUUCUGGAGGUGUUUCUGGAGGUGAAGGUGGCUUACCAAGAAAGAAAACAAACCAACUUUAUGUCCGUGAAGAAGCAGACAUCUGCCUCUCUGAAUAUCAGCACCACUGCAGCUUAUUUAACAGCAAGGAGGUUCUGCAGCACUGUGCCUCUGGAGCUUUGCUGAUGAAGCAGAACAACUUCAGGCCCUUUGAGGUGAGGUGGGAGCUGGGAACGUGUUCGCUGGCAGCGCGGCUUUGUGCUGAGCUUCCGUGCAGCCUGAACCAACGGAUAAACCAGGCCUGGACCAAACAGCCACAAACAGCAAACGGAGCUGGAAGGACCUCAUGUGCUCACUGAGGAGAUCUCCUUGCUCCGAGGUAGGAUCGAACUCAGCCCCACCUCGCUGUUCUCAUCUGCCUCCGGCCCUCACCCUGCUGCUCACACAGAGCUCGGACUCCGCGGGAGCCUCCACGCGUUUCCCCCUCUGCGUUCGUGUGACACGAUUCACAAGAGGGAAAAACACCUGAAUGUGGAAUAGAGCAAUGAGCAUACUGUAUGUACAUGGCGUUCUGUUGAUAUACACAAACAUUUAAGUACGUGAACACAUCUGGAACUGACCAAGAGGCUUCUGCUCUACAGGGGACUGAAGGGAACGCGUUUUCUGGCAGUCCAUCAGGAAAGCAGACUGUUGCCUUGUGUCAGUCAAUGGCAGAUACUCGUACAGAAACGGAGCAGAUAAGGGCUACAGCAGUUUUUCACGAUGAUCAGGACCUGUUGGUUUUCAACACCACUGAGAACACAGAACAGAGAUCUCAUUUCUGACAGUCUGGAGGAACCAGUGAAGAGGCUAUUGUGGUUGCUGCCAAAAACUGACCUACUGCUAAAUGUGAAGGACUAGAAAUGAUGCAUAAAUUCAAGACAUAAAUCAUGGGGAGUGUAUAUUCUGUAACAGAUCUUCAGAGGUUUCCGCUGAAUUACCUACACUGAGUAACUGGAGGGAGCCUGAGCUACCUGAGGAGGAAGAGGGCCCAUGCCUUAGUUUGGACAGCAAAAUCAAUCUCUACAACUUACAGACUAAUGCAGGGGUGUUCUGCACGUAGCACUGGCUGCAGCUGUGCAGCUCUGGGAACUGAAUGUCCAGGUGCUCUGACCUCGGUGGGACAUCUGUUGAAACGUCUAUGUUCCAUUUAAAGACAAGUAGUAAAAACUGUCAGUGGACCUGCUAACAUGAAUUCCUCUUGGAAAUGAGCCAUGUGGACCAAUUUCCAGACAUCGUUACGAAGGAAGGCAAAGAUGGAAGUUCACAAAGCUGUGUGCUAGUCGGACAUGCAGGAGAGAAGAUACUUGUUUGGGUGGACUUAAUUUUUUAAUUAAGCAAGAACAGAUUACCCAGAGGUCAAUGAGGGCAACGGGUGUUUCUAACUGGUAGGUAGCUGGGCUUCGGUUUUUGAGAUGAGAAGAAUGGUCUACAUGAUUUCAUAAGCACCGAUUUCUCAGUGGGGACCAGUGGCCAGUUGACCAGUUGCUAGACAGAUCUGAAGGUUAGAGUAAGGGACAACAGCAAGAAACAUCAGAGGACAACACAAAAAGGGCAUCUGCUGCCUUCCCUACCUGACUAGGCUGGGAUCGGGGUUGUAGGGUGGAGGAGGGGUGCAGUGCGAUCCUGAGACCAUGGACUGGGACGAAUGGCCCCCGUUCAUUUCUCCAUUGGGUUGCAUGGAGUGGCUGUUCAGCAUUCCAGGGCCUAGGCAGCAACCAUGUCAACACGACAGAUAGAUCAGUUAGACUUAACCCAGACAUUUACAACAACCCCUGUCCCCCACUGGGGACCCUGCUGGGCAGGGAGGGCCCCCACAAGCCAGGAGUGCCGGCUGUGUGCUCUGCUGCAGUGGGGACCUUACCCAUUGGCCCCAGGCUGGGUGCUGAGCUGGAGCUGUGCUGUGCUGGCUGCCCGACCAGCUGGUUGACAGAGGGCAGCUUGUUGAUUCCUCCCCCGUGGACUUUAUUCAUAGGUGAGAGGACAGGGCCGUAGGAGGAAGGCGUCUGCAGCUGAUUUCUGCUCAGGAAAAAGAAGGCAGGUGAUGAACAUCCAGCAGGAAGACGUGGAGCCAGCUGGCCACCCCAGAGCUCCUGUCUGCCUGCUCAGGCUCUCUGUGCUGAGGUUUCAGGCAGCGCUGAGGAAGGCUGGAUUGCACUGAGAGCAGCCCAAGACAAAUUGUAUUGGAGCGGAAUUGGCUGGGCUGCAUUUACGUCAGGCGACAGACACGUGUGUCUGUGGAAAGUCCCUGCAGACAGAGAAUUCACUGCAGGGCAGGCCCCCUAGGAAGGUUCAUAUCCAGUGCUGUAUCUUAUGCUUCCUAUGAUGCUGUGAAAAAUAACUGAUCAGCACUGCUGCACCUGCUUGCAGAGCUGCAGUGGGCACUCAGGGGUGCACUAGGGUGGCACUUACUGCCUCUGCAGGAGCUGCUGCUGUUGCUGCCUGUAGGAGUCAACCAGCUGCUGUGGGACCAGCUCCACCAGCUCCAGGCUCUCCUUUAUCUUCAUCAGGAUCUCAAAGUUCUCCCGGCCUCGCACCUGGAGGAGGGAACAAGCCCAGGUCUCACUAUGGCUCCUUUUUUCUACCCAGCCGUGCAGGCACAGUGUCACCACAACCAGGGAAUAUUCAAGGACCCAGGACUCCCUCAGACACGGGCAUUCACAGAUGCUCUUCUCCAUCUGUCUGCAAAACCCCAAAGCCUGCAGCCAUGCAAACCCAUCCUUCUUGAGACCACAUCCCCAAGAAUUUCCCUUGCCACGCCUCCAGCCACGAUGGGCAGCUGCUCAGCAGUGUGGCUCACCGACACUUACAGGCACGUAAUACAUCUCCUCUUCCCCGUGUCUCCGUUUCUUAACGCCCGGCCCCAGUGCUGGGAUCGCCUGGGGGCUCUGUUUGAAUGCUGGAAAGGAGAGAGGGGGGAAAAAUGUUAGCAGAAGAUGAAAGUCAAAUCUGGCAGUGGGAACAGCUAUGUCCUCUGGGCACACAGGAGCAAUGUGCUUUGCAAGCCUUUACUGAAAAGAAGGAAAUAGCUACCUCUAGGAGAAUUAGCUUGAUACAUCCCAAAUGUGUGCUGUCACUCAGGAAUUAUGGCUCUAAGGAAUUUUGUGUGUGUUUUUUAAGAAAAUUUCAUUUUUUCUCUCAUGUCCAUCCUCCUGUGUCCUGCUGUCCUUGGGAGAGCAGGACACAUCUCGUAACACCUUGCUUCCCUGCAGUAUUUUAGCUCACAUUGUGCAGAAUGCGUGCUGCUUAACUGUAUUCUGUCCUUGAUGAUGUCCCUUCAAAAACAGUAAUAACAAAGAACAAGUACAUCCAG